AAACGCGAAGAACUUUACCAAGGCUUGACAUACACGAGAACGGGCCAGAAAUGGUCAACUCUUUGGACACUCGUGAACAGGUGGUGCAUGGUUGUCGUCAGCUCGUGUCGUGAGAUGUUGGGUUAAGUCCCGCAACGAGCGCAACCCUCGUUUUAUGUUGCCAGCGCGUAAUGGCGGGAACUCAUAGGAGACUGCCGGGGUCAACUCGGAGGAAGGUGGGGAUGACGCCAAAUCAUCAUGCCCCUUAUGUCUUGGGCUUCACGCAUGCUACAAUGGCUGGUACAAAGGGCUGCAAUACCGUAAGGUGGAGCGAAUCCCAAAAAGCCGGUCUCAGUUCGGAUUGAGGUCUGCAACUCGACCUCAAGAAGUCGGAGUCGCUAGUAAUCGCAGAUCAGCA
rnacentral:rRNA from 1 species